rnacentral:rRNA from 1 species
GGUGAGUAACACGUGGAUAACCUACCUAUAAGACUGGGAUAACUUCGGGAAACCGGAGCUAAUACCGGAUAAUAUUUUGAACCGCAUGGUUCAAAAGUGAAAGACGGUCUUGCUGUCACUUAUAGAUGGAUUCGCGCUGCAUUAGCUAGUUGGUAAGGUAACGGCUUACCAAGGCAACGAUGCAUAGCCGACCUGAGAGGGUGAUCGGCCACACUGGAAUUGAGACACGGUCCAG